UACGAAGGGGGCUAGCGUUGCUCGGAAUCACUGGGCGUAAAGCGCACGUAGGCGGAUCUUUAAGUCAGGGGUGAAAUCCUGGAGCUCAACUCCAGAACUGCCUUUGAUACUGGGGAUCUCGAGUCCGGGAGAGGUGAGUGGAACUGCGAGUGUAGAGGUGAAAUUCGUAGAUAUUCGCAAGAACACCAGUGGCGAAGGCGGCUCACUGGCGCGGUACUGACGCUGAGGUGCGAAAGCGUGGGGAGCAAACAGG
rnacentral:rRNA from 1 species